GACGAACGCUGGCGGCGUGCUUAACACAUGCAAGUCGAACGGAAAGGCGCGGCGUUUGCGGGGUUCACGAGAGGCGAACGGGUGUGUAACACGUGAGUAACACGUCCUUGACAUUGGGAGAACUCCAGGAAAAAGGGGCGCAUACCGGAUAGGAGCUCUUGAUGCGUGGGGGGGGUUGGAGAGAGACGGCGGUGGGGGCUGGAUUAGAGGCUUAUGAGCUGGUUGGUGAGGUAGGGGCUUCCAAGGGCUAUGAAGGGUAGCCGGCCUGGGAGGGUGACCGGCGACCUUGGGCCUGCGAUACGCCCCAGACUCCUACGGGCCGCAGCAGUCGGGAACAUUGCGCAGUAGGCGGAAGUGUGAUGCAGCGGCGCCGCGUGCGUGAUGACGGGCUUCGGGUUGUAAACCGCUUUGGCCUGUGCCGAAGCGUUAGUGACGGUACUUGGUCAGGAAGCACCGGCUAACUACGUG
rnacentral:rRNA from 1 species